AAGGCUUUAAGUUAAUUAAACUAAUAGUCUUCAAAGCUAUAUAUAUAAGUAUAAAUCUUUUAAGCCUUA
rnacentral:tRNA from 1 species